rnacentral:lncRNA from 1 species
UAAAUACUGAUUGAGGGUUCUGUGUGCCAGGCUGUAUUUUUCCAGGCACUAUGUAGACAAUAGUGAACAACACAGAUGAAAUCUCUGAACUGGGAGUCUUCUGCCAGAAUCCAUGAAACUAUGGCAGGCCCACUUGUUAGUUUGCAAGUAAGGUAAAAUCUCAGACAGCUCACAAUUCUUCACAAUGCUUUUUAAAACUGUGUAUCUUAAGGCCUUUAUACAAACACAUUAAAUCUGGUCUAUGGAGUCUGCCUAAACACUGGGAGGGUAGAGAAGAGUCCAACCCAAUGCAUGGAUUUUAGCCCUGCCUCUGCUUUCUCCUUUUCUAACCUGUUGCUAUUCAGGGAAUCUUUCUAAAACUGGAUAAAAAUGUAAUGCAGCAAAUGCUUAUCCAGUAUAUGCAACGUGCAAAGCUCCAAGUUCGGCACUUAGAAAGACGCUAAGAUGGGGAGUGACACGGCCCCUGCCCAUCUAUCUCUGUCCUAACUCCCAAGGGUCUCUCCUUCUCCACUCCCAACAGUGCUGGGAGGUAGACAAGGGUUGCUGCCCCAUUUAAUG